CCCUUUGUGUCCAAAUUCUCUGAAUAAUUAUGGCAAUUCCUCUCUUUUAUUUGCCUUAUAGGCACUACUUAAAUACCAACAGGAGCAGCUCACUGAGUUCACAAGGCCUUCCGGAGACUUCUCACAAAGCCGCUAGAUGGCAUGAGAGCACUGCACUGGACCCGCUCAGCCACACGGCCGCGUGUAACACUGAGGCAUUUAUUCUCUUCAUGCUGAGAGCUCAGUGUUUAGUCAAAGUUUGUGUGCGAUAUGCCAUUUUGUCACUUGGCUUAUUCCUUCCUAAAAAGGAUAAACCAUGAGUAUCCUGAUAGACUACACUUGAAAUAAAAUAGGAAGAAGUCCACA
rnacentral:lncRNA from 13 species